UUUUUUUUUUUUUUUUUUUUAAUGGAGGCCCAGAGAAGAGAAGUUAAUUGCCUAAAAUUCACCAAGUCAGUGGUACAGUUGCCUCAGGCCUGAGGAGCCCACUCAGGUCCUCCGGCGGCCUUACUCUAAGUACCUAUGGGGUCUUUGAGCCCUAUUCGAUCACCUCCCACCCUCGAUUUGUGCAGGCAGCGGAGAAGCUUUCACAUUGUGCAUCCUCCCCUAGGCGCAAGGGCACACAUCAAGGUCCUAAGGAGGGAGGCUGAGUGUAGCCACAGAAGGCGACCGGGACAGAGACGGAAAGAACUCACCAAAAAGCCCCCCAGGUCCGCAGCACAGGACCCAGCGCCGGAUCCUCAUGCCGAGAGUUUAAAGCUGCGAUUGCAAAAGCAGUGCGGAUUAAUGCAGGCGCUCCCAUGGGACCAAGAGGGCUGCAGAGACUAGGUGCUCUCGGCUCCGCGGGCGCACAAACCGCGACGGAUGGCGGCAUCGGGGACUGCGAGCAGGGGCAUGGAGUGGGAGGGAAAGCUGAUGAGAGCGGGCUUUGAGCCUGGAGAACUCGUCACGCACGUUCACGCAAGCUUGGAGGAAACAUGUGAGCUCAGGAGCGAGCUUACCUCGCGGGAGGUUCGAGGGAGGGUGACACUCUCACCCCCACAGCUACCAUGUGUUCCCUUUAAACCGUCCAUUCCGACAGGAACACAGUGGUGCCAUUCGCAGUGGCCACGGAUUCCGGGUCGGCCCUGGGUGGGCCAGAAGCCACGCUCCUACUUUCCCCGCCCGCCUCCAAGCAAAAAGCAGAAACGGCAGGACUCGGGGUGGAGCGCGGGGCUGCAGGACCCUUUGCCCAGUUCUUACAUUCCCAAAUUGCCCCACAUUCAGACUUUUGACGUUUUCUUCGUAGGAGGCACAACCUCAGAUAUACACUCAACAUGUUGAAAAGAAGUGUAUGGUUCAACCUAUACCCUACACUAGACCACCCCUGCCUGCAGGGUCCUGGGAAUCAAUCUUUUAUAAAUGCUUUAAUAAUUUGAACGACCCAAUUUAUGUUGAAUAACUCCUGUAUGUGACUACAAAACCCCCAAUUUAUUAGGUGAUGUAAACAUUUAUAACACAACACAAUUUUUCUGCAACCCUACUUUGGCAUUUCUUCAUUCCUAAAACGUAUCGGGAGAGCAAAAACUGGUAGAGGCUAGAGUCUCUAGACCAUUGAGAGACCCUAAGCAUAGCAACCUACAGGACACUUGCAAUCCCCUGAAGGACGCAGGAGUUCGAGGCAGAUUGCUUUAGGUCAGCCAAUCCAGCACUGCCCAGAAGUUCACAAUAAUAAUAACGGCAAUAAUAACAAUGAGCGCAAUGUACGGUGUUUGACGGUUUUCAAAACGUUUGCAUGCUUUUGUGAUCUGGCCACUACAGAACCAAAGCUGGCAGAUGCCAGCACGAAAGGACAAUCUACCCUGCCACCUGAAAUCCUAAAAUAUGC
rnacentral:lncRNA from 1 species